rnacentral:lncRNA from 1 species
UCUUUUUUUUUUUUUUGGUCACUCUUUAUAUAUUAUCCCUUUUUACAGAUGAGAAAAUGGAGUCUUGGAAGGCAAAGUGACACCAUGCUGGAAGAAGAGCAGAGAGGAAUUGGAACCCACUCAGGACCUUGGAAAUCUUCAUCUUUCUGGAAGGGCCAACCAGGCAUUCAUCCUUGGCCUCCACUGGCUCCUUCUCUGUCUCCAAAGAUUUUAAAUAACGUGGCAGGCAAGGCUGCCUGAAGGCUGGGACAAGCGAUGGUCCCUGGGCUCCUCCCCAGAGCUCGACUUCUCCUACGCUGGAGCUGUCUCCACAGGCCCCCCUGUGUACAGUGCAGGAUUGGAAGGAGCACUGGACGGGGAGUCAGUGGAGCAGAUCAUUGAACCUCCUGAUCCGUGGAAGGUGGCUGCUUGCAAAGUUCUGAUGACAUCACAUGGAUGUGUGUUGGCCGGGUAUUCCCUGGGGAAUGAGCUUAGCGCGGAAGCAGAAGAGUUGCAUUUUCUAAACCACCAGCUAAGUGGCAGCUAGACUACAUUGCUAGCCUCCCUUGUAGACAGCGACCUUGGGCCACUUGGCUGAGUUCUGGCCAGCGGAAUGUGGGUAGAAGUGAUGACUGGCGUGCCCACACCUGGCCUGUGACACCUCCUACGCAACAUCCCGUCUGCCGCCCUGUUUUCUGCCAGCCGAAUGAAGAGGAUCCAACAGAGAACUCCGAGGCCCUAGGAGACUGGGGAGGACAAGUUGGAAGGAAGCUUUAUUUGUUAUUUUAUUAAAAUUAUUAUUAUUAUUAUUUCAAGACAGGGUCCUGCACUGUUGCCCAGGCUGGAGUGCAGUGGUACAAUUACAGUUCGUUGUAGCCUCCGACUCCUGGGCUCAAGUGAUCCUCCGGCUUCAGCCUCUUGAGUAGCUGGGACUAUAGGUGCAUGCCACCACAUCUAGCUAAUUUAAAAAAUACCCUGUAGAGUGAGCAUCUCCCUAUGUUGCCCAGGCUGGUCUCAAUCCUGGCCUCAAGGAUCCUGCUGCUUCAGCCUCCAGAGUGCCGGGAUGACAGGUGUGAGCCACCGCACCCAGCCUAGAAGGAAUCUUUAGAGAGUGAAAGACCUGGGUGGAAAUCCCAGCUCAACCCCUCAAAGCUGUGUGAUCCUGGGCAGGUCACUUACCUCUCUGAGCUCAGUUUCCUCGUCUAUAGAUAGAGGAUAAUGAUAGUGCCAUCCUUGUAAAGUUGUUUUGAGAAUCAAAUAGGAUUCUUUGAUUUGAAACAGCUCUGAAAGUUCAUCGGAGCCCCAGGGCUCCCUGCAGUAUUGUCUGGGCCCUUUGUAGCCACCGCAUCACAGUUCAAUUUCUCCCUCUGUCUAAUUCUGCUCUUUUUCUCCUUUUCAGAAAUCCCUACCGCUGAGUUCUGGUGGAAGGCAGUUAGUAUUGGAAGAGGUCAUGGGAAGCAGAUUUUUCAAUGGGAUUUUUGAGUUGCGUUACUUGCUGGGUCCAGCAAUGAGGCCCCCAUCCCUGGGAGGUAGGGGUCUGUUGUGCUAUAGCAGGGCAGUUGUUAAAACUCUCAGUCAUGGUGAACUGGGAUGGAAAAUCCACAGAAGGGAAUGCAUUGGCAGAUAUAUCUCAGCCAUUUGAGAGAUUUGGGGGAAGUAAUCAUUAUAAAAACUGUGGAGUCAGAUAGUGAUUGCUGGCCAGGCACAGUGGCUCACCCCUCUGUAAUUCCAGCACUUUGUGAGGCCACGAUGGGAGGAUCAUUUGAGGGCAGAAGUUCAAGACCAGCCUGGGCAACCUAGCAAGAUCCUGCCUCUACAAAAAAACGCAACCCAACCCAAACCAACUAAACAAACGAAAAACCAUCCAAGAAUGCCUGAAGACAUUUCUGUUGUCAUAAUUGUGGGGGAGGGGGAUGGCAUGGCUAUUGGUACCCAGGAGGUAGA